rnacentral:rRNA from 1 species
CAAGACAACUUUACGGAGUUGACGAUUGACGGAGCGAAGCGACGUCAAAGCGUUCAUUAAAGUCGAGUUGGCUUAGGGAUACGUUCGUUGGGUAGGGGAGCGUUCUGUAAGCCUGUGAAGGUGUGUCGUGAGGCAUGCUGGAGGUAUCAGAAGUGCGAAUGCUGACAUAAGUAACGAUAAAGCGGGUGAAAAGCCCGCUCGCCGGAAGACCAAGGGUUCCUGUCCAACGUUAAUCGGGGCAGGGUGAGUCGACCCCUAAGGCGAGGCCGAAAGGCGUAGUCGAUGGGAAACGGGUUAAUAUUCCCGUACUUGGUGUUACUGCGAAGGGGGGACGGAGAAGGCUAUGUUGGCCGGGCGACGGUUGUCCCGGUUUAAGCGUGUAGGUGUGUGUUCCAGGUAAAUCCGGUUCACUUUAACACUGAGGCGUGAUGACGAGGCACUACGGUGCUGAAGCAACAAAUGCCCUGCUUCCAGGAAAAGCCUCUAAGCAUCAGGUAACAUCAAAUCGUACCCCAAACCGACACAGGUGGUCAGGUAGAGAAUACCAAGGCGCUUGAGAGAACUCGGGUGAAGGAACUAGGCAAAAUGGUGCCGUAACUUCGGGAGAAGGCACGCUGACACGUAGGUGAAGUGAUUUACUCA